UACGGAGGGUGCAAGCGUUAUCCGGAUUCACUGGGUUUAAAGGGUGCGUAGGCGGGUUGGUAAGUCAGUGGUGAAAUCUCCAGGCUUAACUUGGAAACUGCCAUUGAUACUAUCAAUCUUGAAUACCGUGGAGGUCAGCGGAAUAUGUCAUGUAGCGGUGAAAUGCUUAGAUAUGACAUAGAACACCAAUUGCGAAGGCAGCUGGCUAGACGAAUAUUGACACUGAUGCACGAAAGCGUGGGGAUCAAACAGG
rnacentral:rRNA from 1 species